GAUGAACGCUGGCGGCGUGCCUAACACAUGCCAGUCGAGCGAACGGACGAGAAGCUUGCUUUUCUGAUGUUAGCGGCGGACGGGUGAGUAACACGUGUAUACCCUACCUAUAAGACUGGGAUAACCUCGGGAAACCGGCGCUAACACCGGAUAAUAUUUUGAACCGCAUGGUUCAAAAGUGAAAGACGGUCUUGCUGUCACUUAUAGCUGCAUCCCCGCUGUAUUAGCUAGUUGGUAAGGUAACGGCUUACCAAGGCAACGAUGCAUAGCCGACCUGAGAGGGUGAUAGGCCACACGGGAACUGAGACGCGGUCCAGACUCCUAAGGGAGGCAGCAGUAGGGAAUCGUCGGCAAUGGGCGAAAGCAUGACGGAGCAACGCCGCGUGAGUGAUGAAGGUCUUCGGAGCGUAAAGCUCUGUUAUUAGGGAAGAACAUAUGUGUAAGUAACUGUGGAGAGCUUGACGGUACCUAGUCAAAAAGCCACGGCUAACUACGUG
rnacentral:rRNA from 1 species